rfam:Arabidopsis thaliana chromosome 2, complete sequence.
ACAUUGACCUUUAGGUACUAAUGCACCGGAUCCCGUCAGAUAUCCGCAGUUAAGCGUGUUUGGGCGAGAGUAGUACUAGGAUGGCUGACCUCCCGGGAAGUCCUCGUGUUGCAUCUC